rnacentral:miRNA from 1 species
GUGGUAAGCGCGGAUGCCUGUAACCCGGAGGUAAUGGGUUCAAGGCUCGUCGCUGCUAC